UACGUAGGGAGCAAGCGUUGUCCGGAUUCACUGGGUGUAAAGGGUGCGCAGGCGGACUGGCAAGUCAGGGGUGAAAUCUUACGGCUUAACCGUGAAACUGCCUUUGAUACUGCUGGUCUUGAGUUAGGGAGAGGUUGAUGGAAUUCCAGGUGUAGCGGUGAAAUGCGUAGAUAUCUGGAAGAACACCAGUGGCGAAGGCGGUCAACUGGCCCUAUACUGACGCUCAGGCACGAAAGCGCGGGGAGCAAACAGG
rnacentral:rRNA from 1 species